AAACGUCGGGAUUAUGUAGUUUUUAAAUAAUAAAAUCCGCGUAGUAAAUCCGAAUAAUACUAGUUUCAUUUAAAUGAAUACUCGCGAAAAUCUUAGAUCUCAUUAACUUCCAAACAUGCUUAUGUGUAGUAAGCACAAGUUAAUUGAGCAUGACACAGCAUUAUUUAUUUUUAAUUCAAAAUUCUUAUUAAAAUAUGAUUAUUUUGAACUAAUUUGGAGAGACUGAAAGGGAAAAUCAUUUGUUACGUAUAUAACUAACGUGCAGAUUGUUUCCAGGGAAGUAUUUCUAGUUAGUUCUAUUGUUUAAUAUUUACAAAACUAGUCCAAACUAUAUCUAUAAAUUACAAAUAACCUGCAUGCUAUUGAUUGCUGUACAACCUACUUGAUAUAAGCCUGGUUGGUAAAAUUAUAAUAUUUAAUAUAUAUACAUUGUUGUUCUUUCCAACAACUUCCAUAGCAGUUAUUGGAUUAUGGUGAAAAAAAGUUAUAAGUUUUUGUGAUCGAACCUGAACGAAUUGAUGAACACAAGCUGUCAACAAGCGCAUGAGUUGAGAGUGGUAAAAGUUAACUCGCCCAUAAUUUAAUUCAUUUUAUAUAAAAUGAUAUUGUUCAUUACAUGUACUGCCAUUUAUACAGUAUUCGAGGUGAAAUAACCUUGUUCCGUAUUUUCUGAUGAAUACAAAUGAUUUCAUGUUUGUAAAUAAAAUGCCUUCAUAAAUUCA